GUUUGAAUUAUGCUUUCAUUGAAGAUGAAUACCAUCUCAAGUGUCUGUAUACAAGAAAGAAAUACGAAACCCAACACUAAAAACAGGGGCCAGAAUUGGGUUAAAUUAAGAAAUACAAAAGGUUGGCUCAGGUAAGCCGUCUCAAAAGAAUUAAGUAAUAAACAAAGGUGAAAAAUAACAAAAGAAUUGGGUUAGUCCCUUGAUUCAUCCUUAUUGUUUACUGAUAUCAUUUUAAGCACCAGCAGUGCUCCAUCUGCUGCCUGUCUUGACCUGCUGUUGACUGUAAUUGUCAACCCAUGACCAAAAUUCAUUCCUUCCUCUCUGAAAUAGCUUAGGCUACAGGAAUUGGGGUCCUUGGACUAGGGAUGCCCAUAUACGCAAGCCUAGGGGAGACCCUAACCUUUGGACUGGGGCGUGGAGAUGGGAUCGGGCCAUAGUUGCUAAAAGUCCCAGGAGGCACCCUAGGAGAUAGGUUAACCUGUUCCAAUGCUCUUGAUUGCAGCUCUGUAGGGUAGUCCCGGACACAACCAAUGCGCGGUCCAGCCCCAGUGGUCCACUUGCAAGGCAAUCGUUGGGGCCACUCAAAAACAGUUGCCUUCAAGCUGGCAUUGUUAAUUUUAAUGUCUUGCUCUGUAUUAACAGUUGUGUUUGUAGUCUCCUUGGUGGACAAAUCCAUAUCAGUUGUAUUUGUAAUGUUGGGUUGAGAAGCAGGAGCAGAACCCACAAUUGAUUCUUGCUUUUGUUCUUCUUCAACAACGUUUGAAGGACAGUCAUCAUCAAUUGCAUACCUCUUGACAUUUGUGAGAUCUACAUUGUUUUCCUGAAGGAAGCUGAUAAAUUCCCUGAAGUUUUCUUCUGUUGGAUGAUAGUGACCACUGUAUGGCCAGAUUGCCUCAAGAAUUCCAUUGUGGGCAACCAAUCUUCCAGCUGCAGUGGUGGCACCACCAGAUAGGAAACUAGAGUGCUGAAAGGCACCCUUCUUCUUUUGCCCUACAUACAAAGCCCUUGUUGUGCUAAGCACAAAUAUCCAUUUGGAACCCUCAACUGUAUCCACAAGAUUUCCAUUUUCUCUAUAAACAAGCUUCCCAUUUUCAACUAUGACUUCGUAUGCUUCCCUUUCUUUCGGUCCAAGAUAUUUGAUGCACUGGCGUUGUAGAACAGUCCUUGGACAUUUCUCCAGAUUGACUUCCUUACCAUCUCCAACAUCCAACCAGUAGAAGAAUGGCUGGGUGCUCUCACUUUUGAACCACAUAUCAUAAUACAAGUGUAAGUUGUGACCGUACCGAUGGCGAGGAUCAAUAGCUUCAAGCCAGUGU
rnacentral:misc_RNA from 1 species